AACUUUUGACAAUGGAUCUCUAGGCUCGUGGGUCGAUGAAGAACGCAGCCGACUGCGUGAAUUAAUGUGAAUUGCAGACACAUUGAACAUUGACACUUUGAACGCACAUUGCGGAAGCGGGGUUUUCCCGCUUCCACAUCUAUCUGAGGGUGAUAUGGAAAAUAACAUCGCUCACUCUGUGACUUCGGUCAUGGGGCACAGUGAGCGGGUUUGACUCGCUGCCGGUUUCAGUACUGGUACCGAGUUUAAGUAUGGGUAGGCGGGUGAUUCUCUCUCUUUUUAGAGAGCCGCCGUCACUCUUUACAGGAUGCGCUGGUCAUGCCCACCCGGGACCAGGCUUGCCGGUGAACCUUCGGCAGUCUGCUCUUUGGUCGAUUCCGGGCUUGAACGGCCGUCUUCAUUUCUUCACCUCAGCUCAGGUGUGAUUACCCGCUGAAUUUAAGCAUAUCAAUAAGCGGAGGCU
rnacentral:misc_RNA from 1 species